ACGAACGCUGGCGGCGCGCCUAACACAUGCAAGUCGAACGGAGCUGAGAGGAGCUUGCUUUUCUUAGCUUAGUGGCGAACGGGUGAGUAACGCGUGAGUAACCUGCCCUGGAGUGGGGGACAACAGUUGGAAACGACUGCUAAUACCGCAUAAGCCCACGGAUCCGCAUGGAUCUGCGGGAAAAGGAUUUAUUCGCUUCAGGAUGGACUCGCGUCCAAUUAGCUAGUUGGUGAGGUAACGGCCCACCAAGGCGACGAUUGGUAGCCGGACUGAGAGGUUGAACGGCCACAUUGGGACUGAGACACGGCCCAGACUCCUACGGGAGGCAGCAGUGGGGGAUAUUGCACAAUGGGGGAAACCCUGAUGCAGCGACGCCGCGUGGAGGAAGAAGGUUUUCGGAUUGUAAACUCCUGUCGUUAGGGACGAUAAUGACGGUACCUAACAAGAAAGCACCGGCUAACUACGUGCCAGCAGCCGCGGUAAAACGUAGGGUGCAAGCGUUGUCCGGAAUUACUGGGUGUAAAGGGAGCGCAGGCGGACCGGCAAGUUGGAAGUGAAAACUAUGGGCUCAACCCAUAAAUUGCUUUCAAAACUGCUGGCCUUGAGUAGUGCAGAGGUAGGUGGAAUUCCCGGUGUAGCGGUGGAAUGCGUAGAUAUCGGGAGGAACACCAGUGGCGAAGGCGACCUACUGGGCACCAACUGACGCUGAGGCUCGAAAGCAUGGGUAGCAAACAGGAUUAGAUACCCUGGUAGUCCAUGCCGUAAACGAUGAUUACUAGGUGUUGGAGGAUUGACCCCUUCAGUGCCGCAGUUAACACAAUAAGUAAUCCACCUGGGGAGUACGACCGCAAGGUUGAAACUCAAAGGAAUUGACGGGGGCCCGCACAAGCAGUGGAGUAUGUGGUUUAAUUCGAAGCAACGCGAAGAACCUUACCAGGUCUUGACAUCCGAUGCAUAGCUUAGAGAUAAGUGAAGUCCUUCGGGACAUCGAGACAGGUGGUGCAUGGUUGUCGUCAGCUCGUGUCGUGAGAUGUUGGGUUAAGUCCCGCAACGAGCGCAACCCUUAUUGCCAGUUACUACGAAAGAGGACUCUGGCGAGACUGCCGUUGACAAAACGGAGGAAGGUGGGGAUGACGUCAAAUCAUCAUGCCCUUUAUGUCUUGGGCUACACACGUACUACAAUGGCUAUAACAAAGAGAAGCGAGACAGUGAUGUGGAGCAAAACUCAAAAAAAUAGUCUCAGUUCGGAUUGAAGGCUGAAAUUCGCCUUCAUGAAGCUGGAAUUGCUAGUAAUGGCAGGUCAGCAUACUGCCGUGAAUACGUUCCCGGGCCUUGUACACACCGCCCGUCACACCAUGGGAGUCGAUAACGCCCGAAGUCAGUGACCCAACCGCAAGGAGGGAGCUGCCGAAGGCAGGUUCGAUAACUGGGGUG
rnacentral:rRNA from 1 species